rnacentral:lncRNA from 1 species
ACACAAAUGUCACACCAUAGGCUUGCCCAUAUUUUCAAUCAACAUUGACUCAACUCCAUUUGGUUAGAAAUCUCAAAGGACUUUGUUAAGCUUGUAAUAUAUGCUUAGGGAAGGUUAGGAUAUUAUUUAGGAAUAAGUGACUAUGCCAUCCUUGCACACUACUCAACAACUCAUCAUAUCCAAAUUUCUCCACUUUUCAAACCCAUGCACAUUCCACACUAUUUUUCACUUUUCUUUUUUUAUUUCCACUCUAGAUGCCCACAUGACACCAUUUUCAAAUUUCGGAGAAUUCAAGUCUCAUUUAUUCAUUUUCUUUCUUUCUUUUUCAAAGCUUUUUCUUUCUUUAAUACUUCCUAUCCAUCCUUCAAUUUCUCUCUUCUUUUUUUUAGUUCAAGCCCUCAUGUGGUAAGCAUCCCUUCAAUGAAUUUCCCAUAACACCCCCAACUUAGGCUUUUAGCCUCCACUUUCAGAACCUCAAGUUCAAGGAGGGAAGGGUUCAAACUAGGGUUACUUUUCAAAAAGGAUAAGGCUUGAAAUGUGGUUGUCAAUAAAAAGAAUUAGGCUCAAAAGGGACAACUAAGGAUAUAUUUAUGCAAAGGUGGGAUUUUAGGCCAAGUGGACUUCAAGAACAUAAAAAAAGCCUAAAGAUCAUUUUCCAACAAAACUCAAUCAAGACCAACCGGGCAAGUUCUAGGUGACAAAGCGAACACAAGCAUUAUUCAACAACUCACCACACAUGGCUUGCAAAUCAAUCAAGAUGGUUCAAAAUCUUACUUCCUUUUCAAAAUACAAGUAGCUUUCAACAUUUUAACUGCUAACGAAUCAAAAGUCAUAAAAAGAGUUGUAAGAGUUGUCACAAAAUCAUUCACAACAUGCUCAACCUUUUAAAAACGAAGAGCUAUGCUCAACACUAUUCACAUGCAUGACUAUGCUCUUAGUACCAACCAAGUCAAAACCUUCCCAAAAAGACGACGAUUAUGCCCUUAAGAGAGUUGUCAACCAAUCCAUCAUCAGGCAACCUCAUGCAUCUAUUCGGGAAUGGCCACUAAGACUUCACCACAAUCAACGCCAAUCCAACACUCACAAGCAAUCGACGAUUUACCCUUAAGAAAGUCGUCCCUCUCUAUCCAUCAUCAGGCAUCGUCAAUCCAAAUCUUAUUAACAAACCAAAAACAAAGAAGCUACAAACUAAAAAUCAAAAACUAAAAUAGACCAAUCUAACACAAUAUCAACAGAAGCAUGCACGAUAUCAAAGUUCGACAAGGUCACACCAAUCCAUAACAAAGAAAAAAAAGUACACCCGUCAAGGGCACAAUUAUAGUAUGCAGAAACAUUCAACAAAAUGAAGAAAAUGGAGGCAUUCCCAAUUGAAAAUGAUACUGUGUUCUCACUUCGGGUCAAGUUCUCAUCAUAUUUUCGGGGACAUUUUACCGGUAGGAACCAGCUCUCAUAAAAAAUAAUCAUCCUUCUCAAUUUUCGGUGCCAUUUCUUGAUCAUCCGAAUUGGUUUAGAAAGCCAUUUAUAGUUCAAAACACCUACAAAUGAAGCCAAUAUAUCAAAAGUUCUUGAGGACACUUAAAACAAUGAAUUAGGAAAUAUUUAAGCCAAAGAAAUAGUCAAAAGAAGGUCCGAGCUAAGUUGUACGAAACUACUGUUUUGGCUCUGCCAUCACUAUCUCUUCCGCGUUCGCAGAAGAGUGUUGUGUUACUUGUCGUUCUUGGUACGGGUUGGCUCACCUACUAGUGGGUUAUAGUAUGUGUCAUCUUGACUAAAGAAGUUUGAAGUCGGGUCAUAACACAAAAAUACUUUAGUUGAGUUGGAUAUGAAACAGUCCAACACACUAUCUCCUCGUUGUUCUGUCAGAUUUAGAGUAAGAGGCUCCAUGUCUAGGUUAUUUUGCCUAUGCUUCUUAUUGGUAGUUUAGUUUUCCCCUAUCCUUGAUUGCCCUAGUGUUCAAGGCAGAUUGCCUAUGCUUCCAUCUCUUUAUGCAUUGCUCAUUCUUAAGGUUUGCUAUUAGAUGUGGUAUUCAAAAAGCAACAUUGUUUUGAUACUUUGUUUCAUCCUCUAUAGAAUACUAGAAGGGAAGCCCGUGCUAUGCACGGGGCCAACAUAACAUUGUCGCAAAUUUUAUUUUCAAAAUUUCAUUACAUUUUGCUGAAACCACUAUGUACUAUAGUUCAGACAUCCAUCGAAACUUAAAAAGAUACGAUAAGGGAACUUAAACAACCCAUGAGCUUAAGAAACAAGCAAACUAAAGGGCAUAUGCAGCAACCAAGAGCUAAACAAAGGGCACAUCUUAGGCCAAUAUAAUCAAACUUUGUCAAGCUAAAUUGGAAUUCUAGACCAAACAAAUGAUAAAAGGAAGCCAACAUAUUAUUUAUGAGGUGCUAAACCCAAACAAACGCAAGCAUUGCUGCCUAACACUACAGAUAGGGCAAUGACUAAUUUAGAUGAAACCAAAUAUAAACAAGAAGAAGACCGAAAUCUCUAGAGGUCAACCAACUAGCUAUAACCAAUAACAACACAGAGAAACUACACAAUCAGACAAAAAAUAAAAUUUAUCAAAAUAAAUAAUAACUAAAUAAGUCUGUAAAUCAACUAAACAAAACAAAGACAAACAAGUCAAGCUUAGGAGAGGGAUCAAACCUUUUGUGGACCACAGAGAAACUGGGACGUCGAGUUGAAUCGAACUAUUCCUCCACCACAACUGGAAUUCUGACAAGAGCUCAAAUCCAGCAACAAAAGACUCAAACCUCCUAGCCAUAGGAAUACUAUUUUCUUUAAUUUUCUUCUGUGUUGCCUGUAUAUUAUUUUUGUAGGAAGGGAAAUACGUAUAUUAAAAGAAUGGAAUUGAAAGGGAGGGGGGGGGGGGGACGGAUAAGAAUUUGAGGUACUUCAAAUUCAAAAUUCAAACUCUUGUGCUGGCUCGAUUUCGUACCAAUUCUAAACAGAAUUGAAAGGAGGGUCAUUAGAUUUCAACGCUUGGAUGAUUCCUGUAACGAUCUUCUAUGAGGACGACGCGGCUGGGAUUAGAGGUCACUGGGUUCGCUGAAUGUUUAAGUGGAUAAUUUAGGACUUAAAAACUUUAGCAUUAUUCAAAUUUUAUUUUUUUACAUAAGCAGGGAUUGCAUUAUUAUUUUUUUGUAUGAAGCAGAGAAGAAAGAUAGCAAAAGAACACAAUAUAUUGUUAUUUUAUUGAUCAUAUAUAUUCAGCUUUGUGAAACUUGAAUAAAAGAAGAGACAUACAUAUCAAGCUGGAAUUAGUGGUUAGUUGCAUAUUUGUAUGAGAGUUGUUGAUAGCCAAUAGCAAAUAAACCUGCAGGUUAGUUGCAUUAAUGGUUAGGGAACGACUUGCUUUAUGGUUAGUUGCAUAUUACUAUGAAGAUACAUCAAAUGGUGCCAGGAGUUUCAACAAUCAGGAGAAUACAUUAAGAUAAACGUUAGAGUUCACUUCUUACUACUUCUCAAUAUGAGAUACCAACAUAUCCAUAGAGCAAGUCGUUCCCUAGAAGUCCUCCCUCAUUUAUUCCGGUAAACUCCAAUGAAUCUUAUCUACAUUUGAAGAAUAAUUAAAAACAUCCAGGUUAAUGGUACAUCAUCGAUAAGAUAAUUCUAUAAUUUCUAUUUAAGUACAUACAAAGUUGAACAGUAGCAACAUCCUAUUAAACAAAAAGGUAAACUUACAGUGAGUCACAUAUUUGGCAUGUUAAGAUAAAAAGGAAGGACAUGCAUAUGAAGAAGCCAUUAUAUAAUGGAAGAAAAAUAAAAUAGCAAGAAUGAAGACAUAUGGGACAAAAUUAAACCUCAAACUCAUGACUUUCAAAAAUUGAAUAAAAAUCUCGUACUUAAAACCAACUAAAACAGUAAUAGCUAUCCACUCGCCAGUACAAAUAAGAUGACAAUCAAGAUUCUAGUAACCUAAUUGAAAACAAAGUUACAUCGAUAAAAGACACACCAACUUAACCCAUUCCCAGCUUUUGGAACAACUUGUGAUAGCAACCGGUCAGAAUCGCCAUAUAUGACAUCACCGGCAACUAUCUCCUCACCUAUAAAAUCAACAAAUUGGAGCUAUUCUUUUGCUAAAUUCAACUCGUUUGCUAACUAUUUGGCGCGUUUGCGGAGAAUCUGGGAUCAGAUUCCUUCGAGUUCGCGGCCAAUAGGGAAUGUUCGCGGAGUCAUCUUUCCCUGAAUUCAAAAUCCGAUUGGGGCAUUUCAUCAAACAUGUUGGGGACAGCUGUUUUAGGCACAAUUUUCACACAAGUGUGUCCCCAAUCUCCACCAAAACUCAUGAACUAUACAUCCCUCAACUAUAUUAAUCAGCACACAAACAAAAAGAGUCCAACAAUUUAAGCACUGAUUAACACAUAUCAACGAGACCAUUUCAAAAGUACUUACCCAAGAUUGGGUAGAAAGGAUGGGAGAAAACUUACGAUAGAUACUAACUCUUAACACGACACCUAAGUGACUCCACAAGAUUGAGCUUAAAGCCAGGAAUAAGGCAAGGAUACUCCACCACAAGAGCAAUUCUGACAAGAGAUCUAAUCCAGCAAACAAAAGACCCAAACCUCCUAGCUAUAGGAAUACUAUUUUCUUUAAAUUUCUUCUCUGUUGCCUGUAUCUUUUUUUGUAAAUUUCAGUUCCUGUUUCUUCUCUCACCAACCUCUUUCUUUCGAUGCAAAUUCCUUAUGUUUUGGGAAGUAAAUUAGUGUCCAAAAAAUCUCUCCAAAACGAUGAAGGAAGGGAAGUAUAUAUAGGAAAAAAAUGGAAUUGAAAGGGGGAGGGGCGGAUAAGGUUUUGAGGUAUUUUAAAUUCGAAAUUCAAACUCUUGUGCUGGCUCUAUUUCGUACUAAUUCUCCACAGAAUUGAAAGGAGGGUCAUAUGAUUUGGACACUUGGAUGAUUCUCGAAACGAUCUUCUAUGAGGACGACGCGGCUGGGCUUAGAGGUCGUUGGGUUCGCUGCUGUUUAAGUGGGUAAUUUAAGACUUAAAAGGAUUAAGCAUUGUUCAAGUUUUAUUUUUUUGAAACUGGUAAUGUUGUAUUCCUCGGCAUUAAUGAUAUGCUGGAGACAUUCAAAAGGGGAAUAAAACAAACAAAAAAUAAGAGAAAGGGAGAAACUACUUACAGAGAGCCAAACAGAUCUACAAGCUCUAAUUCAAGCACUGAUUAACACAUAUCAACGAGACCAUUUCAAAAAUACUUACACAAGAUUGAGUAGAAAGGAGGAGAGAAAACUUACCUUAGAUGCUAACUCUUAACACAACGCCUAAGUGACUCCACAAGAUUAAGCUUACAGCCAGGAAUAAGGCAAGCAAACUCCUUCACUAAAGAAUACACAAGAUCGAACACAUCAUGCUCCUCCACACAGGAUGUUGAAUAUUGCAAGGAACCUCUGGUCCGACUCAGCACAUCCUGGUUCCGAAUGUGAACAUUCUGUUUGCACUUCCAUUGAUGGAUUCGUGACUUCAAAAUUUGUUGCAUGACUAAGAAAACGAAGUUACUGAAAAUUCAAGAUAACUAAAUCAGGUACUAAGCCCACUUCUUUGCAUUAUACAUCAUAAGAAAUGGAACAGAUACAACAAUCCUGCAUCAUGUUGGCUUCACUUAUUUUGUCUAAAACAGUUUGCACAUUGACUUAGAAAGUUUUAUCAAUCGAUUUCGCCACUAGCCACUUUAUAUAUCUCCUGCUCUCUCGCCAAAAUGACUUUAGAAAUUUUUUUUAUCAAUAUCUACUCUUAAAUGUACAUUUCCAAAAAAACCCAUCAUUCAAAUUCUAUAUGGAUUUUUUAAAGAAAAGUUGUAGUGAAGGAUCAACUAUUUAUAUAACUUACUACUGUCUUGUUAACAACUACUACCUCCUCUACAUUAUUUUUAAAUUCUUUGGCUAAAUAAAAGCAUAAAUGACCCCGUAUAAAUCAAAGAGACAAGCAUAAAGUUCUAGUUCCCUCUGCCGUAUUUUUUUUCAAAAUGAGAACCUUGUAAAUAAAACAUUUAAGAGUAAUAAAAGAAUGAACAAACGAUAGACUUGGAGAAAACAACCUUAAGUAAUUUCAGAUUCAUCAAUUUCCUCUUCUUCUUUUUCAGUAACCAUGAUGCCCUCCAAGUUCUCCACUUUUUGUUGAUGGCUUUGGGCAUUUUUGGCAGUAAGUUCUUGUUCAUUCCUCUUAAUGUCGAAUUUAUUCAACUUUUAUUCAAACUCCUCAAUGCAUAUGCAUGAUCUGAGUGCAGGUUUAGCAAAUUUCUUCCCCUAAAUGAAGACAUUCAAACAGUCAGAUACAGUUCACUUAGUUUAUUCAAGCCCAUUCGCGAAGGAUACUUUCCCUGCCAAAAAUUGUAUUUUCAGCUCUUGACCUCUUUUUGCCUCAAAUUUAUUUGCUUUCUUCAAAUAUCCUAAAUCAACUCUCCAUUUCUUUUUCGUGCAAAUCUGAAAAAAACCACAUUAAAAGCACCAAUUCUAAGUUAAAGCAAGCCAAAAUAACUACGAAAAGAGCCUCAAAUGAGUAGAAAUCCGACUCAUCAACACCCCCAACUUAGAAACCUUGUUUGUCCUCAAGUAAAGAAAAUCAAAAACGCAAGAAGCUCAUAUUUCAAGACACACCACAAAUCAAUUUCCCUCUCUCAAUUAAGCACAAAGGUAAUAACUUCGGUUGGUACUAACAAAUAGUACACAUGCAAACUUUUCACAAAAUAAAUCCUCACUCUCAUGAAACAUUUUCAAAAACCAAGAAUCGUUUAAGUGACAACAACUCAAACUCAAGAAAUGACUCAACUCAUUAACUCUUUCACAUGCUCACUUGACUCAAUUAGGAAUUUUCAAAAUCACCACUUUUUCAACCUACAUGCCCUUACAAGAAAGAAGUUUCCCAAAAUCACACACAUAUAAACAAGACAAGGGACAAAGAUGUAACACUCACACUUACAAAGAAUCAUCUCAUGCACACACAAAUGUCACACCAUAGGCUUGCCCAUAUUUUCAAUCAACAUUGACUCAACUCCAUUUGGUUAGAAAUCUCAAAGGACUUUGUUAAGCAAUAACGUAGGCUUAGGGAAGGUUAGGAUAUCAUUUAGGUAUAAGUGACUACACCCUCCUUGAACACUACAUAACAAAUCAUUCUUUCUAACUUUCUCCACUUUUCUUCACUUUCCAAACCCAUGCACAUUCCACACUACUUUUCAUUUUUCUUUUCUUAUUUCCACUCUAUUUUUCACUUUUCUUUUCUUAUUUCCACUCUAGAUUCCCACAUGCAACCAUUUUCAACUUUUGGAGGAUUUAAGUCUCACUUAUUCAUUUUCUUUCUUUCUUUUUCAAGGUUUUUUCUUUCUUUAAGACUUCCCAUCCAUCCUUCAAUUUCUUUUUUCUUUUUAUCUUUUUUUAUAGCAAGCCCACAUGUGGUAAGCAUCCCUUCAAUGAAUUUCCCAUAACACCCCCAACUUAGGCUUUUAGCCUCCACUUUCACAACCUCAAGUUCAAGGAGGGAAGGGUUCAAAAGAUGAACACCCCCAACCUAGGCCUUUAGCCUCAACUUUCACAACCUCAAGUUCAAGGAGGGAAGGGUUCAAAAGAUGAACACCCCCAACCUAGGCCUUUAGCCUCAACUUUCACAACCUCAAGUUCAAGGAGGGAAGGGUUCAAAAGAUGAACACCCCCAACCUAGGCCUUUAGCCUCAACUUUCACAACCUCAAGUUCAAGGAGGGAAGGGUUCAAAAGAUGAACACCCCCAACCUAGGCCUUUAGCCUCAACUUUCACAACCUCAAGUUCAAGGAGGGAAGGG